AACACUUUCCAAAGCGGUUUUUUGUCCAUCCUAUACAGUGUCGGCAGCAAACCACUUCAAAUUUGGGAUGCAAAGGUGCGAAAUGGCCACAUUAAGAGGAUCACAGAUAGUGAUAUCAAUUCCCUGGUGUUGGAGAUCGCAGGCGUCAACAUCAGCACCACCUAUAUCACGUGUCCGGCAGAACCCCACAUGACCCUGGGCAUCAGACUGCCGUUCAUGACAAUGAUCAUCAAAAACCUCAAGAGGUAUUUCUCCUUCGAAGUGCAAGUGCUAGACGAUAAAAAUUUUCCCCGACGUUUCCGAGCAAGCAAUUACGUGACCACCACGCGAGUAAAUCCGUUCAACUGCACCAUGCCCCUAAGUCUGGGCGACAGCUGGAAAUGCAUAUCUUUCAACUUGUCGGACUUCACGAGAAAAGUGUACGGCACGCGGUAUGUGGAGACCCAGCGAGUGCAGAUCAACGCCAACUGUAGGAUCAGGAGGGUUUACUUCUCCGACCGAGUCUACUCCAAGGACGAGCUUCCGGGAGAGUUUAAGAUUUUUCUGCCCAUCCAAGAUCAGCCGACGAGUCAGCAGGCCAGUCAGCAGGCGCCACCAGUCGCCCAGACCUGA